UACAGAGGUCCCAAGCGUUGUUCGGAUUCACUGGGCGUAAAGGGUGCGCAGGUGGCCAAGUGUGUGAGGCGUGAAAGCCCGGGGCUUAACCCCGGAAUUGCACCUCAAACUACAUGGCUAGAGCAUUGGAGAGGGGAGCAGAACUCACGGUGUAGCAGUGAAAUGCGUAGAUAUCGUGAGGAAUACCAGAGGCGAAGGCGGCUCCCUGGACAAUUGCUGACACUCAGGCACGAAAGCGUGGGGAGCAAAAGGG
rnacentral:rRNA from 1 species